ACCAGACUCCUACGGGAGGCAGCAGUGGGGAAUAUUGCACAAUGGGGGAAACCCUGAUGCAGCAACGCCGCGUGAGUGAAGAAGUCACCCGUGAUGUAAAGCUCUCUCAGCAGGGAAGAAAAUGACGGUACCUGAGUAAGAAGCCCCGGCUAACUACGUGCCAGCAGCCGCGGUAAUACGUAGGGGGCAAGCGUUAUCCGGAUUUACUGGGUGUAAAGGGAGCGUAGACGGCCAGACAAGUCUGAAGUGAAAAUCCAGCGCUUAACGGUGGAAGUGCUUUGGAAACUGCCGGGCUGGAGUGCAGGAGGGGCAGGCGGAAUUCCUGGUGUAGCGGUGAAAUGCGUAGAUAUCAGGAGGAACACCGGUGGCGAAGGCGGCCUGCUGGACUGCAACUGGCGUUGAGGCCCGAAAGCGUGGGGAGCAAACAGGAUUAGAUACCCCCGUAAC
rnacentral:rRNA from 1 species